GAAUCAGUUCCCGCAUAGCUAAAAACCAUACUAUGAAUCUUGCGAAUCAUUCGGUUCUGAUAACAUUAAUAGUUUCAAUUGCUUUUGAGUCAUUGCUAAUGUGCCUUUGCUAGAAACCAGUUAAAAACCAUUUUUAAAAGAUACCAAUAAUCUUCUAAGAAAUUCAUUGCUUAAUUUGGCAACGCAUCGAUAAGAUACCAAAUUAUUCCCGAAAGAUUCAGUUAAUAAUCAUAAAAAAUAAUCGAAUAUUUUAGCAACGCGCCUCAAAUUUUUCCGGCUGUCAGCAAACCGCGUGGCUGAAAUUGUUGACAAAAAAAAUCAUCUCCCAAUGUUCAAAAUGUUACUAUAUUGGGCUGGUCCGGUAGGCAACGGCAACGGUUCCGGUGCUGCAAGGGCGCAGAUAGUCGGGUUUCUCCAGAUCGAGGAACAGGCGGCACUUGGUUCCGGAACAGAAGUUGGAGAUGGAGGCUACGUGAAAACCUUAGAGCAAUGUAAUAAAAGGACUAUGGAGAAUCCAUCCAUUGUUUAAAAAAUGCGACGUACUCAGACACGAGAACCAGCGCCACGGGGCACGCGGGGCAGCACACGGGGCAGCAGCGCCAAGAAAGGUUCAGCAGUGCUCCUUCAACACGAAGUAGGAUGGAUCGGAAGUGCCAUUGCAUUUGGUACGGAAAAUGCUGCAGGAUUAGGAGCAUCCUAAAGGAGUAUCAGUUAACAUCCGCAGGUAGCGGAAGGUUAAUAUUUCAAUGAUUAAUCUAAAUGUAAUAAAAAUCGUGUUGAAUUAAAUAUAUUAGAAAAUUAAAUCUCGUUUGAUAUUUUUUUCCGGAAAACUAAUUGGAAUUCAAUAAAAUUAAUAAAAUCCCAGUAUGGGGAAUCUUUUCACUGUUGGUUAACAAUAGGUUGUAUCGUCAUCUUUUUAUGAGCGGAUCAUAAGACAACGAUAACACGUUUGAUCAAACCUUUUUAGAACGAGUAAAAAAAAGUAAAAAAAAUGAAUGGUUACUCUACUUAACGACCCGUUCGCUGUAUCGUACAGUGUGUCCAAACGAUUCCAUUCCAUGAAAAAAAGAUUAGUUUGAUCAUA